UAACUUCGGGAAACCGGAGCUAAUACCGGAUAAUAUUUUGAACCGCAUGGUUCAAAAGUAAAAGACGGUCUUGCUGUCACUUAUAGAUGGAUCCGCGCUGCAUUAGCUAGUUGGUAAGGUAACGGCUUACCAAGGCAACGAUGCAUAGCCGACCUGAGAGGGUGAUCGGCCACACUGGAACUGAGACACGGUCCAG
rnacentral:rRNA from 1 species